rnacentral:rRNA from 1 species
CCUACGGGUGGCUGCAGUGGGGAAUAUUGGGCAAUGGGCGAAAGCCUGACCCAGCCACGCCGCGUGAGUGAUGAAGGCCUUCGGGUCGUAAAGCUCUGUGGGGAGGGACGAAUAAGCCAGGGGCUAAUCAGCCUGGCGAUGACGGUACCUCCUUAGCAAGCACCGGCUAACCCUGUGCCAGCAGCCGCGGUAAUACAGGGGGUGCAAACGUUGCUCGGAAUUAUUGGGCGUAAAGCGCGCGUAGGCGGUUUUUUAAGUCGGAUGUGAAAGCCCUC